GGCUUCGUAGCUCAACUGGUAGAGCAUUUGAGCAUGUUGUUUCUGUCGCUGGUUGGAAUCCGGCCGAAGUCC